rnacentral:lncRNA from 1 species
CUGGGUUGCCUUCUCCUCCUUGGCGCGGACUGAAAUGGAAAACCAUUCCGGAUUCAUCAAAUCUUGUGUAUUUCAUAACUUUAGUUGUAGAAGUCAGAUUAACGAACCGUUUCGGCCUUCAUGAUCUUGAGGAUGAGCUCUAUGACUUGAGGUAAAUUAUCCCCAAAUUUAUUUACAUCUAUUUUACAUAGUUUUCCCAAGUGAUCUGUUGAGCUCUACGAUAUGCAUGCAACUAUAUGAAUAUUUUGAUAUCUAUAAUGUAGCAACAUUUAAGAGCAAAAUAGAAGCGGCUUUGUAAUUUCGAAAUAUAUUGCAAUAAUAUUACACAACACACACCACCCUUUCAGCCUUCAUGCUCCACAUGUUCAUCUAUGCUCAUUUCAGUAUUGGGAUCGGACCUCAAUCGUUUGGGAGGUCGAUCCUCAUCAGACGAGCCAUGGCUUGGUCCUGCAUCGCCGUCGGCAAGCGCUCUCUUCGACUUAAUGUCUGCCUGAGCAUUGUCCUCGCCAAGAACAUUAGCAUCCUCAUUGGAGCCAGAAGCAUAUUGUAUCUUCUUAUCAUUGAUAACUUUGUCCCACACUAGACUGACCCCUGUUUUCUUCACACUAAAUUGGGGUCCAAAAUCUACGAUAACCUCAACUUCAUCACAGCCCUCCAAAUUGAACACAUUGUUGGAUAGAUUUCCCUGCCAAAGAUGAUCUUCAUGAGAUGCUACCACGUCUAUUGCAACCGGCCUCGAGGUACGCAUUGUGCCCUUGGUAUAGUUUAUAACUGAGAUGCUAGUAAGAUCUUGAGAUACUAUGUUGUCGAGACAUGAAGAAUAAACAAUGCACACAAUCAACUCCUUCAAAUUACAACCAAUAUUUUGAGGCACUUCAAAAAAGACUGAGGCGCCCUCAUCAACAUAGGGGAACCACUCAGGAAUAUUAUUUCCAGGGAGAAAAAUGCCACCAAAUCCACUCACAGUCCAUCCCUAU